rnacentral:rRNA from 1 species
UACAGAGACUGCAAGCGUUAUUCGGAUUCACUGGGCGUAAAGGGUGCGCAGGCGGCCAAGUGUGUCAGGUGUGAAAUCCCGAGGCUCAACCUCGGAACUGCGCCUGAAACUACUUGGCUAGAGUACUGGAGAGGGUAACGGAAUUCACGGUGUAGCAGUGAAAUGCGUAGAUAUCGUGAGGAACACCAGAGGCGAAGGCGGUUACCUGGACAGUUACUGACGCUCAGGCACGAAAGCGUGGGGAGCAAAAGGG